GAUUGAACGCUGGCGGCAUGCCUUACACAUGCAAGUCGAACGGCAGCACGGGUGCUUGCCCCUGGUGGCGAGUGGCGAACGGGUGAGUAAUACAUCGGAACAUGUCCUGUAGUGGGGGAUAGCCCGGCGAAAGCCGGAUUAAUACCGCAUACGAUCCACGGAUGAAAGCGGGGGACCUUCGGGCCUCGCGCUAUAGGGUUGGCCGAUGGCUGAUUAGCUAGUUGGUGGGGUAAAGGCCUACCAAGGCGACGAUCAGUAGCUGGUCUGAGAGGACGACCAGCCACACUGGGACUGAGACACGGCCCAGACUCCUACGGGAGGCAGCAGUGGGGAAUUUUGGACAAUGGGCGAAGGCCUGAUCCAGCAAUGCCGCGUGUGUGAAGAAGGCCUUCGGGUUGUAAAGCACUUUUGUCCGGAAAGAAAUCCUUGACUCUAAUACAGUCGGGGGAUGACGGUACCGGAAGAAUAAGCACCGGCUAACUACGUG
rnacentral:rRNA from 1 species